rnacentral:rRNA from 1 species
UACGGGGGGAGCAAGCGUUGUUCGGAAUUACUGGGCGUAAAGGGCUCGUAGGCGGCCAACUAAGUCAGACGUGAAAUCCCUCAGCUUAACUGGGGACUGCGUCUGAUACUGGAUGGCUUGGAUUCGGGGAGGAGGAAUGCGGAAUUCCAGGUGUAGCGGUAGAAAUGCGUAGAUAUCUGGAGGGAACACCGGUGGCGAAGGCGGCAUUCUGGACCGAUAUUGACGCUGAGGAGCGAAAGCCAGGGGAGCAAACGGG